rnacentral:lncRNA from 1 species
CCCGUUUGCAGAGCGGUUGCAGAGCGAUUCUGAGGGUUACUGUGGGCAAACAGCCUUUCGCUGCUCACUGCCGUUGGGUGCUGCUUCCUUGUCAGUCUCUGGUGUUUAAUAUCUCACAUGUUUUUCUGUUUCCCAGUUGAAACGGUUCUGUUUUCUCUGGCAAUGAUUCAUCCGUCUGUAACUAGAGCAAAAAUUCCAGAUCAUCCAGAAGCUGAAGAGAUGCAGGUCUGUAGUCCACCCCUGCCAGCCAUUUAGUGUUCUGGUUUAAUCAUUCAAAGAGUGCUAAGCCAUGACAGAAGAGUGAGCAAACAGUUAAAAAGCCGCAGUAGCAGUCUCUUGCUGCCUGUUUUGACAUGGAAAAAAAGGAAAAGAGAAGUUUCUAACCUUGUCAUUGUCGGUCUUCUGAGAAAUUUUUUUCUUACUAACUGCUGCUCCCAUUCUCACAGUUGUGAGAAACUGGACAGAAAGACUCUGGAAUAUGAUCUGGAAUAUGAAUUCUUUAUGAUCACAAAGUAGAUGGCAUUGUUUUUGGGAAUAUCCCAGUAAUACAAAGCCUGUAGUAGGAGUUUUUCCUAUUAUUUUUUUAUUAUUUCUUAAUAGCUCUUGCAUUUUCAUGUUACAAUGUUUGUUUUUUGCCUUCAGGACUGACCUCCACCAAGAUCAAAAUGCUACUGUUAGAAAUGUCACACAAUCCAAUUUGAUAAUUUAAAUAUCGUAGAAACUUGACUGUUAAUAGUUGAUUUGUCAAAGGUAGCCUUUUUGAAUAGGUGAAGAGAAGGGAGAGGAAGCAUUGCUUAGUAGUGGUGAUCACUAUUUCAGGGCUGCACUGCUAAUUCUAGCACUGACUCACUCUAGUCUUGGAAAGUUACAGUGCUUUUGUUCUAGAAAAUACUAAGUAAAGAAAGCAGCCAUUCUAUUCUAAUAGCAAACAUCCAUUUUAUUGUAACACUGCCUGGAGAGGAAGAAUCCAGUGCUUUUGUUCUUUCUCUCUAUGCUGCUAAUAAUUCUUACAAGAAAGUAUUUCCAGUUGCUAGUUCAGCAUCUUCCAAC